GUGAGGUUGUAUGGGAACUGGUGAAUCACGGCCUGAACCUCUGAUUGACCACCUGAGGUGAGCGCCGAGUCAGCCACAGGGGCACAGGUGAACACAAUUUCACCUGAGUGACCAGAAGCCAGGAGCCAAGCUCCACCCCUCCUAGACCCCAUUUAAGGGCUGACUCCCAAGGAGGAAGGAUCUCUAUCUGGAGAUCACCCCUCUUAGAGCACUUCUGCAAGCCCAGGACAUGGAGGUCAACUUAGAGCGGGAAAUCAUCAUCUGUUAGAAAGGCAGCAGAAAGAUACACAAAACAAGUGAAUGCUACUGCAGAUCUCCCUACUCUUCUGGUGUGUCCUGUCAAACUUCCAAAACAACUACAACUGUGUAUGCUGGACAGAGAAAAUAUGGUUAAAAAGAACUUACCCACUCUUCUGUCCUAACACGUUUGGGUUUCUUGGCCAAGCAUGAAGCCAAUUCCAGAAGAAAAGACUGUUCCUCCAGCCUGAAGGCACCUCUAUCUGUGCAUUUUAGAAGGGUUCUUCUGGACCUAUGACUGCUGCAGUAAAGGAAGAGAAUGGGAUUUUUAGCUUUCCAGAAUGUAACCAACAUAUAGAGCUCUGCAAUUCAGAGUCAAUACCUAAAGUGAUGCUAUAAGCAAUAAAUUGCGAGUAUUUCUAGAGAGCAGCAGGUUUCUGGAAGC
ensembl:lncRNA